AAUCCAUAGGUUAAUGAGGCGAACCGGGGGAACUGAAACAUCUAAGUACCCCGAGGAAAAGAAAUCAACCGAGAUUCCCCCAGUAGCGGCGAGCGAACGGGGAGGAGCCCAGAGCCUGAAUCAGCAUGUGUGUUAGUGGAAGCGUCUGGAAAGGCGCGCGAUACAGGGUGACAGCCCCGUACACAAAAGCGCAUGUGCUGUGAGCUCGAUGAGUAGGGCGGGACACGUGGUAUCCUGUCUGAAUAUGGGGGGACCAUCCUCCAAGGCUAAAUACUCCUGACUGACCGAUAGUGAACCAGUACCGUGAGGGAAAGGCGAAAAGAACCCCGGCGAGGGGAGUGAAAAAGAACCUGAAACCGUGUACGUACAAGCAGUGGGAGCACAGGUUUACCUGUGUGACUGCGUACCUUUUGUAUAAUGGGUCAGCGACUUAUAUUCUGUAGCAAGGUUAACCGAAUAGGGGAGCCGGAGGGAAACCGAGUCUUAAUUGGGCGUUAAGUUGCAGGGUAUAGACCCGAAACCCGGUGAUCUAGCCAUGGGCAGGUUGAAGGUUGGGUAACACUAACUGGAGGACCGAACCGACUAAUGUUGAAAAAUUAGCGGAUGACCUGUGGCUGGGGGUGAAAGGCCAAUCAAACCGGGAGAUAGCUGGUUCUCCCCGAAAGCUAUUUAGGUAGCGCCUCGUGAAUUCAUCUCCGGGGGUAGAGCACUGUUUCGGCUAGGGGGCCAUCCCGGCUUACCAACCCGAUGCAAACUGCGAAUACCGGAGAAUGUUAUCACGGGAGACACACGGCGGGUGCUAACGUCCGUCGUGAAGAGGGAAACAACCCAGACCGCCAGCUAAGGUCCCAAAGUCAUGGUUAAGUGGGAAACGAUGUGGGAAGGCCCAGACAGCCAGGAUGUUGGCUUAGAAGCAGCCAUCAUUUAAAGAAAGCGUAAUAGCUCACUGGUCGAGUCGGCCUGCGCGGAAGAUGUAACGGGGCUAAACCAUGCACCGAAGCUGCGGCAGCGAACGUAUCACUUAAAGCGAUUCAGCGGGUUACGAUUGACGGAGCGAAGCGACGUCAAAGCGUAUACAAAGUCGAGUCGGUUUAAGGAUACGUUCGUUGGGUAGGGGAGCGUUCUGUAAGCCUGUGAAGGUGGCCUGUGAGGGUUGCUGGAGGUAUCAGAAGUGCGAAUGCUGACAUAAGUAACGAUAAAGCGGGUGAAAAGCCCGCUCGCCGGAAGACCAAGGGUUCCUGUCCAACGUUAAUCGGGGCAGGGUGAGUCGACCCCUAAGGCGAGGCCGAAAGGCGUAGUCGAUGGGAAACGGGUUAAUAUUCCCGUACUUGGUGUUACUGCGAAGGGGGGACGGAGAAGGCUAUGUUGGCCGGGCGACGGUUGUCCCGGUUUAAGCGUGUAGGUGUGUGUUCCAGGUAAAUCCGGUUCACUUUAACACUGAGGCGUGACGACGAGGCACUACGGUGCUGAAGCAACAAAUGCCCUGCUUCCAGGAAAAGCCUCUAAGCAUCAGGUAACAUCAAAUCGUACCCCAAACCGACACAGGUGGUCAGGUAGAGAAUACCAAGGCGCUUGAGAGAACUCGGGUGAAGGAACUAGGCAAAAUGGUGCCGUAACUUCGGGAGAAGGCACGCUGACACGUAGGUGAAGUGAUUUACUCAUGGAGCUGAAGUCAGUCGAAGAUACCAGCUGGCUGCAACUGUUUAUUAAAAACACAGCACUGUGCAAACACGAAAGUGGACGUAUACGGUGUGACGCCUGCCCGGUGCCGGAAGGUUAAUUGAUGGGGUCAGCGCAAGCGAAGCUCCUGAUCGAAGCCCCGGUAAACGGCGGCCGUAACUAUAACGGUCCUAAGGUAGCGAAAUUCCUUGUCGGGUAAGUUCCGACCUGCACGAAUGGCGUAAUGAUGGCCAGGCUGUCUCCACCCGAGACUCAGUGAAAUUGAACUCGCUGUGAAGAUGCAGUGUACCCGCGGCAAGACGGAAAGACCCCGUGAACCUUUACUAUAGCUUGACACUGAACAUUGAGCCUUGAUGUGUAG
rnacentral:rRNA from 1 species